CAUCCUGGGAAGUCAGUUCUGACUUACUCCCACCCUCUACAGAACCUGACAGGGUCAGCUACUCCCCACUCUAUGUCUCAUGCACAUUCAUGUCACAGGCAGUCCUUAUCACCAACUAACUUGUGAUUCCUUCUUGAAGUGUCCAUCCCCCACCCUGCCCCUGUUCCCCAAGGGCAGUGGCCUAGUAUGAUUCACCUCUGUGGACCAUCCAUGCCCAGGCCAGGGCCCAGCAUACAGCACGUGCUCAGCAGCUGCCUUGGGGCCCUAAGACCACAGGUAGCAGUCAUGUGUGUCUGUACAUCUGUGUGACCAUCCUGCCUGACAACUGUCAUCCUAAAAGCCACAGCCCCACAUGAUCAAAAGCCACCCACAGUCACCCAUCCAGUCUUAUGAUUAUCUCCACCAGGCACAUGCAGAGAGCCUGCCAGACACAGAAAGUCACCACCUCACACAGUCGACCUCACACUCAGAAUUGCUCACCCUCAGCUUCACACAAUCACAUUCCCUCAGAUACAUAACAGUCCACAGUAUCUCACUCCUGAUAGACCUGCCUGGCCUCACAUAAAGACAUGCACACAUAUGCGCAAGCACACACGUUUCCCUCACAACUGAUAGAAACCUUCCCCUUCCCACAGCACAGGCCCUGAGCCAAUUCAGUUGCCUACACAGGAGUCUAUACGAUGGCUCCCAUGAUGGCCAUCUGACCUUGACUUGCCCUCUCCCUCCAUUUAGUUGAACCCCUGCUCCCCCUACUUCCUUCUACCUCCAGUCAAAUGAAGGGUAGAAUGGUCUCCUCCUCCCUAGCCACAGGUCACCUAGACUCACACGCCCUGGAGAGCCAGUCGAACAGAGCAGUCUACAUACCAUUCCACAACAUGACCUUGGAGCUCUCCCCAGGUUAUUGUCCAUGCUAUCCCUGUCUCCUGUAAUGCUGCCUCACUUCUGCCACCUGUUCAAACCCUUCCCAGCCUUACACUCUUGCCCCUUUUUCUCCAACAAGCCCUCCUGGACACCACCCCACCUAGCCCACCUUGACAGCUCCUUCCUCUUUGGGCCAGGAACAUAUUUUGCUCAUUACUGCAGCCAUAUGUGCUCAAUCAUUUCUGCCCAUCAUACUUUGCCUACUUUCCCAAAGCAUUUCUCACCUCCCUUGGCAGAUGGAGAACUUAUGGAGAACACAGCCACUGUCUUACUUUUUAUCCCUCACAGUAUUUUAGCCUGAAGCCUUGCACACAGUAGGUGCUCAAGCAAUACCUUCUGGAAAAGCAAAUAAGGGAGAGAGAAAGAGAGAGGGAAGGAUGGAGGAAGGGAUGGAGGGAGAGGGGAAACAAAUGAGAAUUUGAAUGAGUGGAUGAGUAGAUGAGUUGAGUGACUAAAUGAGUUAAGCAAAGAGUGAGGGAAUCAGGUAAGCCUCCAGGAAAGCUACAGGAUCAGUGUGAUGGGGAUGUUGAAGGGAGGAAGGAAAGAAAGGAGAGGAAGGACUCUCACCUGGGCCUUAAUCAAAACCAGAGCCACUAACCACUGCACACUUGCCCAACCGUGCACCAGACUCUAUGCUGGGCUCCUUGCAUUUUCUUGCUAAUCUUCAUGACAAUCCAGAAAGGUAGAUAUAUUCUCACUGUACUCGGGAGGAAAAUGAAGCUUAAGGAGAAGAAAAUACUUGCUCAAGGUUACACAGAUAGUAAGUAAGUGACAGAACCAGAAGGUAAACUCAGAUUUGUCUCAUGCCAAAGGCUCAAAAAGGGAAAGUCGGGGUAUGAGACCUCCUGGCGUUGCUCCUGACAGAGACACAUCAUAGAAGGUGUGGGUCUUACAGCCCAUAAAAACACCUUCCACCCACCUGCCAACAGCCUCCAGGGAUUCUUAGAACCAGCUUCUGGCAGGAAAUAUUCAGGGUCAUUGUAUCUGGGGAAAACGGCUUCCCCUCAGAUUCAGAGAUCCCUCAAGUUGUAAAAUCAGAACCUUGAAAGUACAGAAUCAAGGACUCUUAACAUCACAGAAUAUUAAAAUCACAUCAUCAGAAUUUGUUUUAAAUGGUAGAAUCAUUAAAUCUUAAAACCACAGGAUUGGAGAAUCCAAAAAUCACAGCAUUGUAGAAAUAGAAACCACAGAAUUGCAUGGAAUGUGUCACUGAAUUAUCAUAUCUUAAGUUCAUAAGUAAUCAUAGCUUCUUAAAAUUGUAGCAUCUCAGACUGACAGAACGUCAGAGCUGGAGGAGCCCUUGGAAAUCCUCUGAUCCAACCCCCCUCCUCCUUUUACCCACUGGGAAACCUGGUAGCAGAAAGGCCAAGCAACAUGUCCAAGUUGGCCAACUCAGGUCACCUUGGGCUGAUGGGCUGGAGAAGGCAACAGGCUUGCCCAUGGUGGGAGCACCACACCACUCAUUCACUUAUUGAGUGCUUUUUGGGUGUUAAUAUUACCAUGAAUCAAAGCCUACUCUCUCUCCCAGUCCUGGAUAGGAAAGAAGGUAAGGCCCUGGGGGGGUUGGGGAGAGGGAAGCGGAAGUGGGGUGGAACAUACAUCAGACAGAGAGAAGAGAUCAGCUUUUAUUGAUGGAAAUUCCUUUGUACACAGCGACACGACACGCACUCUGAAAGGCCUAUGGAAGUAGCAGGGGGCAUGGGACAAGGCCUUCAAGCAGUGGAGGAGAUGGCAGCGAUGGCCACAGCGAAGGAAAGAGCGACGGGGAACUAGGCAGGCUGGGUCCCGCCCCCGUCUGGUCCUCUGAGCCCUAGGCACCCUGCAUCUCUGUUUGUGCUCACAGAGGACAGAGAGUAAUCCAUAGUAUGGGUGGAUCGUGAAGGAAAAGCUGUUCUCUACUGAUGGACAUGUAGCAGGAAAUGUGAAGCAAGGAAAUCCAACAAACAGCCUGGAGGGUGCACAAAAAGAGGGAAGGACCAAGAGGCAGGCUUGCAUGGAUGGCAGAAGCACAGAGCUCAAGAGCAAACGGGCUCCCAGCCAGCCAAGAGAUUCAGACCCAGGUCUGUAGAUAGAGAAUCUGAGGGUAAGAGAAUCCUGGAAUUGGGGAAGACUUAGGUCAUUUCACUGGGCUUUAUACCGAUUCAGGAAUUAUGCUUUCUCCAGCUCUCUCUGACCCCCACUGGGCCUCUGCUGGACACAUUCAGCCAGCCCCCACCCCCACAUGGUGCUGCAGAUGGCCAGAUUGGAAAGUUCUUCCUGAUUUACACCAAAUUUUCCCACUGCUCCUGGUUCUGCUCCCUGGAGCCACACAUAAGGAGGCUGCUUCCUCUAUCACUGGCCUGACCACGAUAGAAAAGUCUUCUGCAGCCCAAGCUCAAGGACCACAAUGCCCAUCAAGUCGCCCACUGCCCCCACCCCACCAUGGCCCUCUCCUGAAAGGGCCUUGCUUGACUGAGCUGGACCCUUCCUCCAGUGUGGGGCCCCAAGCCGCACUCAGGCAGUCCUCCAGGAAUCAGUUCCCAGCAGCCCCACCUGGACAGGAGAGCCCAUCUCCCUCACCCCAAGACUACUCUGGGGCAGCCCACACCAAAAUUCAGCUGAGGGUGCACUGCAGUGGAGCCCAACCGAGCCCUCGAGCUGCAGCUGCUGCUCCUGGGGCGCAGCCAUCUCAACCCAGCACCCCAGCCUGCUGCCUCACCACGGGGGAGUUGCAGAGAGCUGUCUCCCAGCAGAUUUCCUGAGGCAGAAGGCUUCCCCACCCCCAGCCCAGCCUCCAAGAGACACUCUACUGGUUGUGGCACAUGGUAGGACCAGCUGAGCAGUGAGAGAAGGGGGAAGGCUGUCCAUUCGCUAGAGGACUUCAGACUUGCUCUGUAGUGUGGCUGGAUUAGCCACAGAACCAUCAAAUCUAAGCAGGAGGGGUCCUCAAAGAGCAUUUAAGGCAGACCUUGCCUUUUAGAAAGAUAUGAGGGAACUGAUGGCCUGAGAGAGGAAGGGACUCAGUCAAGGUCGCAGAGCUGGAAGGGGAAGCCGGGUCUCCUAACUCCCAGUUCAGCGUUGUCUCCAGUACAGCGGAACAGAAAUCAGGAAGCCUUUAGGGCAGCCCUGUGAGCCUGCGUGCCCUUGACUCUCUCAGCCUGACAUUCAUCCCAGCCAGCUCACCAUGGUAUCUGCAUGGAAGAAGUGCACCCAGCCCAUGGCCCACCAACCCAAGAGAUAUUGCCAAGGUGUCCCAAAUAGGCAGACACACAGACCCUAGCACAGAAACUGGCUCUGAUCCAAAAGAGGAAAGAUCUGUAGACUUCCCUUUCUGGUACACUGUUUAAUUGGGUGGUGUUUUUCUUGGGGGUGGAGAGGGGGUGGUCUUUGAGGAACCAGCCAAGGGUCAGGCCUCCAUCUUUGCUCCCCCAUCUUUGCUCUCCCAGCCAGGAUGUACGGCAGUUCUCCUCAGAGGGAUGUCUCAACCUCCAGCAGGCGUUCUGGCCCCCACCCGCCUCCCUGGGAAAGGAUGGAGCUGAGGCAGCCGGAGGAGACAAGAUCAGGCCUGCACUAAGGACCUACAGAAGAGACCCGAAUAGGCCAAAAAAAAAAAAAAAAGUGGGGGGAGGGCUUUCUUUCCCUUGGGGGUCUGACUUGACAACAUCGCAGACAAUAAAAAUCCCAACCAGCAUAUUCAAAAUAAAUAAGUAAAAGAAAAACCAUCUUCUGGCAAGGAUACAGCCAGGGGGUGAAGGAAGUGGAGGGGGUGAUGACCGCUCUAGGCCCUCACUGGCCACGGUUUUGAGAAAGAAGAGACGCCUGCACUCAUCCGACCAGCCCCGUCUGGGGUGACUAGAGAAGGGGUGUCGCUGCAUGAGGGGGACCUGGCUUCUCCUGACAGGCUGGGACAGGAGAAAAGGACAUGGAAUCAGACACUGGCUUCUUACUUUACCAGGCGGACAAGUUGGAGAGGGAACUAGAGGGGAAGAGCCGGGGGGUACAAACACA